GACGAACGCUGGCGGCAUGCCUAAUACAUGCAAGUCGAGCGGACUUGAUGAGAAGCUUGCUUCUCAGAUAGUUAGCGGCGGACGGGUGAGUAACACGUAGGCAACCUGCCCUCAAGCUUGGGACAACUACCGGAAACGGUAGCUAAUACCGAAUACUUGUUUUCUUCGCCUGAAGGAAACUGGAAAGACGGAGUAAUCUGUCACUUGGGGAUGGGCCUGCGGCGCAUGAGCUAGUUGGUGAGGUAACGGCUCACCAAGACGACGCUGCGUAGCCGACCUGAGAGGGUGAUCGGCCACACUGUGACUGAGACACGGCCCAGACUCCUACGGGAGGCAGCAGUAGGGAAUCUUCCGCAAUGGGCGAAAGCCUGACGGAGCAAUGCCGCGUGAGUGAUGAAGGUUUUCGGAUCGUAAAGCUCUGUUGCCAGGGAAGAACGCUUGGGAGAGUAACUGCUCCCAAGGUGACGGUACCUGAGAAGAAAGCCCCGGCUAACUACGUGCCAGCCGCCGCCGUAA
rnacentral:rRNA from 1 species